CCUACGGGAGGCAGCAGUGAGGAAUAUUGGUCAAUGGGCGAGAGCCUGAACCAGCCAAGUCGCGUGAAGGAUGACGGCUCUACGGGUUGUAAACUUCUUUUGUCAGGGAGCAAUAUGGUCCACGCGUGGGCUUAGCGAGAGUACCUGCAGAAAAAGCAUCGGCUAAUCCCGUGCCAGAAGCCGCGGUAAUACGGGGGAUCCGAGCGUUAUCCGGAUUUAUGGGUUUUAAGGGGUGCGUAGGUGGAAUAUCAGGUCAGCGGUAAAAAUUCGGGGCUCAACCCCGUCGUGCCGUUGAUACUGAAGUACUUGAGUGGGCGUGAAGUAUGCGGAAUGCGUGGUGUAGCGGUGAAAUGCAUAGAUAUCACGCAGAACACCGAUUGCGAAGGCAGCAUGCCGGCGCCGAACUGACGCUGAGGCACGAAAGCGUGGGUAUCGAACAGGAUUAGAUACCCUAGUAGUC
rnacentral:rRNA from 1 species